AGACCAUGAUGUGGACAAAGCAUCAUCAUGUCUUUGUAUCUUUCCCAAGCUUCAAAGAGUAAUUCAUUAUCUUUAUGUUUAAAGCCGUUUAUUUGGGCUCUUAGCAU